rnacentral:precursor_RNA from 7 species
CCUCUCUUAUAUAUGCUAAGCAGUUACAACUGUUUGCAGAGGAAACUGAGACUUUAUAACUAUGUCUCAGUCUCAUCUGCAAAGAGGUAAGUGCUUUGCCAAGCCCCUUGAAGAAUG